CGCAUAUGAAGGCAGAGUCAAUGUUGACAGCAACACUCUCGCUCUGACGCUGCAGAACCUGAGACUGAGUGAUUCUGGAAUAUACAGACUGACUCUACAAAAUAAUUCUGGAAACUCACUUACAGGAGAAACUUCACUACAAGUCGUGUUUUUCAAUUGCUAACUGUCACGAUCACCAGUGAGAGUGCCCAUCAUUGCCACCAGAGGGCACUCCAUCCUGGACUACACACAUCAUUUGGGCUCCAUUUCCCAUCUACCCUCAUACCUGGACUGAUCACCCUGCACCUGCUACCCAUUAUGCAAUCACUCACUCAUACAUAAAAGACACUUGCACCCACACCUCCAUGUGAAGGUGGUCUUUUCUGAGCGUUAUUGUGGAUUGUUAUUCUUGUGUUUGACUGGACUGUUUCUCUUGUUUGAUUCUCUGCUGCCUGCCCUGACCUUUGCCUGUUCCUGGAUUCUGUACGUUUGCUGCCUGCCCUGAUCUCUGCCUGUCCCUGUUUUCGCCUCUGCCUUGUCCUUGCCCUGUUGUGUUUGCUUAUCAAUAAAAACUGCAAAUGGAUCCU